AGGAACACUGCUGGAAAAUUGCCGCGGAUCAAAUUCUACCGUUUUCCUAGGAAAUCGUAUGAGACUGAAAGAAGACAGAGGUGGAUCGCAGCUGUCCGCCGAGCAAGCUCAGAGGGAGAGCUGUGGCAACCGAAAAGGAAUGAAACGCGAAUAUGCAGUGCUCACUUCGUGGGAAACGAGAGAAGCAACAUCGCUCAGCACCCAGCGUACAUUCCAACAAUAUUUCCACCUUGCUACAAAAAGAGUGAUGCCGCCUUGCCCCAGACCACGUUUUCACUUUUCAGAAUAAAAGGAGAGGUCGAAGUGACCCUUAGCGCACUGUG